rnacentral:lncRNA from 1 species
GGCACACGGACUCCAGCAGCUGGACCCCUCCAGUGGAUGAACCUCUCCAGCACCAUCCGACAUCCACUGCCGGUCAACCCUUUGUCGAAUUCUACGUGAAAUCGAACUUCAUCUACGGAAAGCCUCUGGCCGAGCUCCUACAGCAAAUGGCCCUCGCUUGCAAUAUUAAUAACCAAGGCACCCAACGAUAGAAGGCUCGCCAGCAACAUCCGAGCUCCUCUCAGAUGGAUAGCGGCCUCUCCCCGC